GGGGAGUACGACCGCAAGGUUGAAACUCAAAGGAAUUGACGGGGGCCCGCACAAGCGGUGGAGCAUGUGGUUUAAUUCGAAGCAACGCGAAGAACCUUACCAGGUCUUGACAUCCUUUGACCACUCUAGAGAUAGAGCUUCCCCUUCGGGGGCAAAGUGACAGGUGGUGCAUGGUUGUCGUCAGCUCGUGUCGUGAGAUGUUGGGUUAAGUCCCGCAACGAGCGCAACCCUUAUUGUUAGUUGCCAUCAUUCAGUUGGGCACUCUAGCAAGACUGCCGGUGACAAACCGGAGGAAGGUGGGGAUGACGUCAAAUCAUCAUGCCCCUUAUGACCUGGGCUACACACGUGCUACAAUGGGAAGUACAACGAGUUGCGAAGUCGCGAGGCUAAGCUAAUCUCUUAAAGCUUCUCUCAGUUCGGAUUGCAGGCUGCAACUCGCCUGCAUGAAGCCGGAAUCGCUAGUAAUCGCGGAUCAGCACGCCGCGGUGAAUACGUUCCCGGGCCUUGUACACACCGCCCGUCACACCACGAGAGUUUGUAACACCCGAAGUCGGUGAGGUAACCUUUU
rnacentral:rRNA from 1 species